rnacentral:lncRNA from 1 species
UCUAGAGAAGAAAACAAAUGAUUUUUUUGACCUGUCUUUUGCUUAAUUACAUCAAAGCAUUUUGGUCAUUUCGUCCAUUUCCGUUAAGUUUAACGGAUUCCGUUACUUUUACAAUUUAGUUCAAAAUAUGCAGUAUCGUGUGGUACGUUUUGAGACUACGGAGGGCUUUUCUGUAUAUUAAAUUUACCAAGGGGGCUUUUUUAUUUUUUACCCUAUUUAUAACAUACAUUAAGAUAUUUGUUUUGAAUUCCAAUACAGCAGAGAGAAGGAUAAUUUUAGUGAUAUAAAUUAGCUAGAUGAAUUAAAAUUAAAUUGAAAGAAUACAAUACCUUAAAUAAAGUGCCAUUUGCAUAAGAAAUGAUCUGUGUACAAUAGUUAGAACAAAAAGACUAGCAUAAUUGGGCUUAUAUUACUGGUACAUUUUAACUUGCAUGCGCCACAAACACUUGGGAUCUUUGCAGCCACCUUCAUAAAAAGGUGGAUAUGGAUGUUAUCAAGACAAUUUUUUUUUUUAAUCUUCACAGAAUUUAGCGACUAUGAAUGUUGCGACAGCCAGAUUCUUGAUAUACAUGUAUAGUUGUAUUACGUGUUGUUUAACAUAUAUGAAUAUAUCUAUUGAGAAACUGAAAUGAGUAAGAUUUAAUUAAUGCUCUUAAAUAAUCAAGAUUUGUGAAAAAAGAAGAAGAUAAAUUUGUCUAGUGUGAGGUGAUACAUCUUUCGAUUAAGCGAUAAUUUCAGAAACUUCCCUUGAGGUUUCUGACAAUUUUACUCAGCUCCUCCCAAUUUUAGAAAAUUACACUGACCUCCCUUGCUUUUACUAUUUAAGUAACAUUAUAGACCCAUUAGGUUAGAAUCAUACUUAAGUAUCCUAAAAUACCCUUAUGCAAUAUCAUAACAUCAAAAGAAAGCGAAAAAAAAGGUUUAGUGAUCAAUUUAACCAAAAAAAAAAA